UGCUGAUGCUGGUGAUGCGAGCAUAAUUUCACUCCGGAUGCAAGCUUUCGAACGGACCGAGAGGGUGACGAUGCACUUCAUAUUUAGAAUUAAAUAAGCAAACGCAAAAUAUAAUCAACUGCCUAGAGUAGAAGCGACCUUUUGCUCAAAUUGCAACAUAAUAGUAGAGAAAUAGGUGAGAUCGAGUCCCUGGGUCGGAUCCAUCGCUGGAGGGCUGGAUGAGAAAAUUCCUGUCUUCCAUUUUGUAGAAAUCUUCCUUCCAACUGUCAACUUCCUACUGGGCUCA
ensembl:lncRNA